CCGACGAUAGCUCAGCUGGUAGAGCAUAUGACUGUAAUACUCUCAGAUAUCAUAUGGUCCCCGGUUCGAUUCCGGGUCGUCGGA